GAGUCUUGGAGGUAGAGCACUGAUUGAAUAAGGGGCCCCCACAGGGUUACCGAGUUCAGUCAAACUCCGAAUGCCAACGACUUAGCCUCGGGAGUCAGACGGCGAGUGAUAAGAUCCGUCGUCGAAAGGGAAACAGCCCAGACCACCAGCUAAGGUCCCAAAGUAUACGUUAAGUGGCAAAGGAUGUGGCGUUGCACAGACAACCAGGAUGUUGGCUCAGAAGCAGCCACCAUUUAAAGAGUGCGUAAUAGCUCACUGGUCGAGUGGCGCCGCGCCGAAAAUGUAACGGGGCUAAACGUAUCACCGAAGCUGUGGAUGACCUUACGGUCAUGGUAGGGGAGCGUUCUAAGGGCGGUGAAGGUAGACUGGAAGGUCUAUUGGAGCGCUUAGAAGUGAGAAUGCCGGUAUGAGUAACGAAAAGAGGGGUGAGAAUCCCCUCCGUCGAAAGCCUAAGGGUUCCUGAGGAAGGUUCGUCCGCUCAGGGUUAGUCGGGACCUAAGCCGAGGCCGAAAGGCGUAGGCGAUGGACAACAGGUUGAUAUUCCUGUACUACCAUCAGACGUUUGAGUGAUGGGGGGACGCAGGAAGGUAGGACCAGCGUGCGACUGGAUGUGCACGUUCAAGCAGUUAGGCUGACUAUGAGGGAAAUCCCAUAGUCGUGAAGGCUGAGCUGUGAUGAGGAGGGAAAUUUAGUACCGAAGGGUCUGAUCCUACACUGCCAAGAAAAGCCUCUAGCGAGUCUGUAUGGUACCCGUACCCCAAACCGACACAGGUAGGCGAGAAGAGAAUUCUAAGACGCUCGGGAGAACUCUCGUUAAGGAACUCGGCAAAAUGACCCCGUAACUUCGGGAGAAGGGGUGCUCAUUCGGGCUUUGGCCCGAUGUGAGCCGCAGUGAAAAGAUCCAAGCGACUGUUUACCAAAAACACAGGUCUCUGCGAAACCGUAAGGUGAUGUAUAGGGGCUGACACCUGCCCGGUGCUGGAAGGUUAAGAGGAGAGGUUAUCCCUUAGGGGAGAAGCUUUGAAUUGAAGCCCCAGUAAACGGCGGCCGUAACUAUAACGGUCCUAAGGUAGCGAAAUUCCUUGUCGGGUAAGUUCCGACCCGCACGAAAGGUGUAACGAUUUGGAUACUGUCUCAACGAGAGACCCGGUGAAAUUAUAGUACCUGUGAAGAUGCAGGUUACCCGCGACAGGACGGAAAGACCCCAUGGAGCUUUACUGCAGCUUGAUAUUGGAUGUUGGUAUCGUUUGUACAGGAUAGGUAGGAGCCUUUGAAGCCGGACCGCCAGGUUCGGUGGAGGCAUCGGUGGGAUACUACCCUGACGGUACUGACAUUCUAACCCUGGACCGUGAUCCGGUUCGGAGACAGUGUCAGGUGGGCAGUUUGACUGGGGCGGUCGCCUCCUAAAAUGUAACGGAGGCGCCCAAAGGUUCCCUCAGAAUGGUUGGAAAUCAUUCGCAGAGUGUAAAGGCACAAGGGAGCUUGACUGCGAGACUUACAAGUCGAGCAGGGACGAAAGUCGGGCUUAGUGAUCCGGUGGCACCGCAUGGAAGGGCCAUCGCUCAACGGAUAAAAGCUACCCUGGGGAUAACAGGCUUAUCUCCCCCAAGAGUCCACAUCGACGGGGAGGUUUGGCACCUCGAUGUCGGCUCAUCGCAUCCUGGGGCUGAAGUAGGUCCCAAGGGUUGGGCUGUUCGCCCAUUAAAGCGGUACGCGAGCUGGGUUCAGAACGUCGUGAGACAGUUCGGUCCCUAUCCGUCGCGGGCGUUGGAAGUUUGAGAGGAGCUGUCCUUAGUACGAGAGGACCGGGAUGGACACACCGCUGGUGUACCAGUUGUUCCGCCAGGAGCAUCGCUGGGUAGCUAUGUGUGGAAGGGAUAAGUGCUGAAAGCAUCUAAGCAUGAAGCCCCCCUCAAGAUGAGAUUUCCCAUAACUUUAAGUUAGUAAGACCCCUUAGAGAUGAUGAGGUUGAUAGGUCUGAGGUGGACGCGUGGUGACACGUGAAGCUGACAGAUACUAAUCGGUCGAGGACUUAACCAA
rnacentral:rRNA from 1 species